UCCUCGUUUAAGCGAGGCAGUCUGUCCAGAGUGCUUCGAACUCUCGUUCGAGUGGCAACAGGACACAAGGGUUGCGCUCGUUGCGGGACUUAACCCAACAUCUCACGACACGAGCUGACGACAGCCAUGCAGCACCUGUGCAUACUGGUAUUGCUACCUCGUCAGGCUUUCACCCUUCUACUAUAUGCAUGUCAAGGCCAGGUAAGGUUCUUCGCGUUGCAUCGAAUUAAGCCACAUACUCCACCGCUUGUGCAGGCCCCCGUCAAUUUCUUUGAGUUUUAAUCUUGCGACCGUACUUCCCAGGCGGCACAUUUAUCGCGUUAGCUUCGCCACAAAAGGGGUCGAUUCCUUUUACAGCAAAUGUGCACCGUUUACAGCCGGGACUAC
rnacentral:misc_RNA from 1 species